rnacentral:rRNA from 1 species
UACGGGGGGGGCAAGCGUUGUUCGGAAUUACUGGGCGUAAAGGGCUCGUAGGCGGCCAACUAAGUCAGACGUGAAAUCCCUCGGCUUAACCGGGGAACUGCGUCUGAUACUGGAUGGCUUGAGUGUGGGAGAGGGAUGCGGAAUUCCAGGUGUAGCGGUGAAAUGCGUAGAUAUCCGGAGGAACACCGGUGGCGAAGGCGGCUUCCUGGACCGACACUGACGCUGAGGCGCGAAAGCUAGGGGAGCAAACGGG